AUGAGAUACAGUGUUACUCUGCAGAAAAAUUUCAAAGUACAACUCCAAGUUUUCCAGUAUAUUUUUGCAUUCUUUGCCCCAGUAUAUCCAAUUAUUCCCACAGCGUUUCUUCUUUACAAAGAAUCAACACUGUUUGCUCUCAUCUUGAUAACAGAUCCAAAAGAAAAUGCCCCCUCUUGGGCUGGAGGUCUACAUGACUGCUCUCAAUUCUGGUUGUUCGAAAUCGUCCAGUGUUGCUGUUUGUGUUCAAUGCUGAAGACCUGGUGUCCAUGCCUGAUAAAACCUGAAGGAGCAUGGAUGAAGCUGGAAACCAUCAUUCUCAGCAAAGUAACACAAGAACAGAAAACCAAACACUGCAUGUUCUCACUAACAAGUGGAAGUUGAACAAUGAGAACACAUGGACACAGGGAGGCGAACAUCACACACUGGCGUCUGUCAUGGGUUGGGAGGCUGGGGGAAGAAUACUGUAGGAGAAAUACCUAAUGUAGAUGAUGGGUUGAUGGGUGCAGCAAACCACCAUGGCACAUAUAUACCUAUGUGACAAACCUGCACAUUCUGCACAAGUAUCCCAAAACUUAAAGUAUAAUAAAAAAAAAAAAAGUUGAUUGCA
rnacentral:lncRNA from 13 species